rnacentral:tRNA from 2 species
UACGGACUGAAAAUCCGUUGGCUUUUUAGACCGUGAGGGUUCAAGUCCCUCUACCCCCA